AUUGAACGCUGGCGGCAUGCCUUACACAUGCAAGUCGAACGGCAGCACGGGAGCAAUCCUGGUGGCGAGUGGCGAACGGGUGAGUAAUAUAUCGGAACGUGCCCAGUCGUGGGGGAUAACGCAGCGAAAGCUGCGCUAAUACCGCAUACGAUCUAUGGAUGAAAGCGGGGGAUCGCAAGACCUCGCGCGAUUGGAGCGGCCGAUAUCAGAUUAGGGAGUUGGUGGGGUAAAAGCUAACCAAGCGUACGAUCUGUAGCUGGUCUGAGAGGACGACCAGCCACACUGGGACUGAGACAUGGCCCAGACUCCUACGGGAGGCAGCAGUGGGGAAUUUUGGACAAUGGGCGCAAGCCUGAUCCAGCCAUGCCGCGUGCAGGAUGAAGGCCUUCGGGUUGUAAACUGCUUUUGUACGGAACGAAAAGGUUCUUUUUAAUAAAGAGAACUCAUGACGGUACCGUAAGAAUAAGCACCGGCUAACUACGUGCCAGCAGCCGCGGUAACAC
rnacentral:rRNA from 1 species